UACGUAGGUCGCAAGCGUUAUCCGGAUUUAUUGGGCGUAAAGAGAACGCAGGCGAUCUUUUAAGUCUGAUGUGAAAGCCUUCGGCUUAACCGGAGUAGUGCAUUGGAAACUGGGAGACUUGAGUGCAGAAGAGGAGAGUGGAACUCCAUGUGUAGCGGUGAAAUGCGUAGAUAUAUGGAAGAACACCAGUGGCGAAAGCGGCUCUCUGGUCUGUAACUGACGCUGAGGUUCGAAAGCGUGGGUAGCAAACAGG
rnacentral:rRNA from 1 species